CGAUCUUUGUCUCCUCGCACCUGAUCCUGGCGAAGAGCGCGAGCGCGACUGGGCCUUUCAGAUCUCCGAUCUCGAUGUGAGUGUUUUUCAUCCAAAUCGAGCGGAAGUGUGGCCUCGCGGCUUUUGGCGCUCGUCCGGCCUGCUCUGGUGCUCGUCACCGGCGAUCUCACUGCUGCCAAGAACAGAGACCUCUCUGUGACAAGGCAAGACGAACAAAACUAUGAAGCACGUCUCAAAAGAAAGCCGAUUGCCACAAAGUGUGUUCUUCGAUCUUCGUGGCAACCAUGACAGGUUUGGUGUUCCCAAUCGCGAACUGGACUUCUUUUCUCGGUACAGCAUCAGCGCAGAUAUGAAUCGUGUCGGUCGAUCCUGUUCAAGCGGGAACUGUCACGGUUCUUGGUGGCUGGAAGUACUUGUUUCUUGGUUUUGAUGAUACCAUGGCCAUCGGGCUUCGCGUGGCCAACAAAUCUGUUUGGCGACAGACUCCCUGAAAAUGGAGUCCCUGCUCGAAGGCUUUGAAAUGAAGCAGUCACGCAGUUCUUCCGCCAAGAAUCAGGGAGACGAGGCAUGGCAUCUCGGCAUACUUAUCCACACUAAGUUUGGAAAGCAGCUGUAUGGGCUUCGGGCGGAGCUCUAGCAGAAAGAACGAGUUUUGGGAGUGGGAAAUCGGGGACUGGAGAGCUUUCACUUGAUCGUAUUCGAGCUGUGUUCUCCAAAGGUGCCGAUUACUGCUGUGGCAAAAGUAUAAGCUGGUGUGGCGGCGGCUAAAGUCAGUUCCAGUUCCAGCAUCUGGACAUCGGUGGUGUACGAAGAGUCUCGGGAUUAUGCGGGACACAGGUGAGCUCUAAGUCGACGUCGGAAAUUUCUGUCUUCUUUGAUGUGUCGUGCGAAGAAUUGGCAGAAACAGAUCACCGACGUUGUGCAGUAUAUUGAAGAGAGGCUUGACGAGGUCUGGAAGAGAUUCAAGCCCAGGAAUGUGCUGAAAAACAGUAAAAUGAGGCUACCAGUUCGAAUCAAGUAAUGUUUAGCCGAGUUUAACUAGUAGCGAGGUGUUCUUGCACAGGGUAGGAGCUUCAAUUCAUCAAGAAAACGAGUUUGAACGCUUUCUUGCGCUUCUGAGCAACCGGCAGGUUAUGUCUUCUUCUUCUGCUACUUAUCGACCAUACACAGGCGGGUCUAGCUACGGAGUUUGGAAGCGCAAGAGAACAAGACCAAUGGCUUCAGAUGGACGUUUCAACGUGACUUCUGCACAGAUCGAAGAACCGGAGGAGGCAAUCGAUCUGGUGAGGUGGCGAGGAAUUAACGAGACGAGCCCCAGAAAGAAACUUUGAAGACAGAGGGCACCCUUAGCAAGCAAGUCAAGUUCGACAGUGUCAAGGCAAUUACAUAGCUGCUUUUGUUUUGCAGGAUAUUCGGCUCUGUCAGACGUUCCGGAAUGGUUUACGAUUGUUUGAUCUCUACGUACAAUUUGCGUUUCCGGUGUUUGGCAGGACUAUAAUGUGGUGCUUGGCCGAGAUCUAGAUUGCAUCAUUCUUUUGAAGGUGGUAUGAUCGCUAUAGUUUUUAAGCCCAAGUACGUGACAAUCGGAAGAGGAGAGUGAGCGGCAUAGUUUGCACGAGCUUGGCGGCAAGGAGAGGCCGUGAAGAUGAAUGCACUGGAGAAAGGCAUGGCUGUUCAAGGAUUGGAUGCGAGCCGUGAAGAUGAAUGUAUUGGAGACAAGAGGACGCCCAUGGCCGAGAACAAAUUGCGUAGAAUAGAACUUUGACAAUGCGGCACCGACGGCACACAAGAUUCAACUAGAAAUCUACAACAAGCUCACGCAGAGCCUUUUCGGCAUCCAGAACAGCACGCUCGAACUUUUCUCCGAUCUUCUCCAGUUUUGUUGCUUUGCGCUUCCCGAUUUCCCCCAUAGCACGAAGCCCCGGUUGCGUGAUGGCGGCAGAGGCGAUGCGCAAUGUUCUGGCGAUCAAAGGAGAGCUCCAGCGAAUCGCCCGUGUGACUGAAGACGCCAUCGGGGACACGCUCACUGGCUUCCGCCUAGACGAAUUACGUUAGAGAGCCGCGCAGACAAGAGCCGAGACGUUAGCGAGCCGCUGAAGAGCCGAGACGCCCCAGCUGGCCAUUUUAUAGAGCAGGAUAUUGACUUUUGACUGAGGACUGCUUGGACUUUGACGUGAUCCCGUAAAGAUUUCAGUGACUUUGACUUUGAUACGGGCA